rnacentral:rRNA from 1 species
GAUGAACGCUAGCUACAGGCUUAACACAUGCAAGUCGAGGGACCGGCGCAUGGGUGAGUAACACGUAUCCAACCUGCCCUUUACUCGGGGAUAGCCUUUCGACAGAAAGAUUAAUACCCGAUAUAAAGGAUGGGGAUGCGUUCCAUGAGGGUGUUGGUGAGGUAACGGCCAACCAAGCCUUCGAUGGAUAGGGGUUCUGAGAGGAAGGUCCCCCACAGUGGAACUGAGACACGGUCCAAACUCCUACGGGAGGCAGGAGUGAGGAACAUUGGUCAAGGGGCGGUAGCCUUACCCAGCCAAGUAGCGUGAAGGAUGAAGGCUUAUGGGUCGUAAACUUCUUUUAUAUAAGAAUAUGUAUUAUAUGAAUAAGGAUCGGCUAACUCCGUGCCAGCAGCCGCGGUAAUAC